rnacentral:rRNA from 1 species
UACGUAGGGUGCAAGCGUUAAUCGGAAUUACUGGGCGUAAAGCGUGCGCAGGCGGUGAUGUAAGACAGGUGUGAAAUCCCCGGGCUUAACCUGGGAACUGCAUUUGUGACUGCAUCGCUGGAGUGCGGCAGAGGGGGGAUGGAAUUCCGCGUGUAGCAGUGAAAUGCGUAGAUAUGCGGAGGAACACCGAUGGCGAAGGCAGCCCCCCUGGGCCAAUACUGACGCUCAUGCACGAAAGCGUGGGGAGCAAACAGG